UCAUGCUUUCCUAUGUGAUUCCAAAUAAUGUUUUUAAUUAAAACUUAUCACAUUUUCUCUACAUCUGAGAAAUAAUUAAGAUCACUUGGCACAAGCAAAAAUAUGUUCAUUCCCAGACCUCUGUCCCAUGUGACUUAAACAGCAUGACCACUAACUUAAACUGUAUAGUAGCACGGGAAGAUGUGUCUGCUCGGUUACUUGAUAUGUCCUCCAAAGUAAAGGCCAGCAUCUAUUCCGAGAGGUGACCAGAUAAAGACAUCACCUCCUGCGUCACGUGCACAGUGCAAACUGAGACCGCACUUCAUGUGAUGCAACCAGAUACGCUGAAUGGCAUACGUGCAGAAGCUAUGUUUACAGUACUACUAAAUACAAAUCAACAUUUGAACGAUCAUGCUGACAUUUAAAAAAAAAAAAAAAAAAAAAGGUCUGACUGUCAUGCUGCUUUAAAAAAAAAAAUAAAGCGGGUGAAGACUGGAAUGCGUUAGUGAAGAUUUGUUGAUUUCUAUUUCGGAGCUCCAGCUGUACCGUGCGUUGGGAAUGUACAGAUUUGGCAACUGCUGCAACUCGCUGCAGCCGGUUUGCAGCCCUCCGCCUCUGCAGCUGUCUUUCGCAGAAAGUUUUACAGUAGUUAAAAUCGGCAGGAGGGAGGGGAGUAUGUAGGAUAUCCUGCCAAAAGAUCCUGUGUGAACUUGCAGUUGCAACGGCUUCCCUAAUGUGAUUGGUGCCAUAGACUGCACACACAUCCCCAUCAAGGCCCCACCAGGCCCAAAUGAAGGGGAUUUUGUAAACCGAAAGGGGGUUCACAGUGUAAAUGUGCAGGGGAUUUUGACGGGAUCCUGCUUGGAGACGGGGGCUAUGCCUGCAGGCAGUAUUUUAUGACGCCCUUCCCUGACCCAUACCCUGGACCACAAACCCGAUACAAUGCUGCUCUAGCCAGGACAAGGGCACGCAUUGAGAUGGCCUUUGGAAAACUGAAGGAAAGAUUUCAGUGUCUGAAAAGUCUGAGGGUUGCACCUGACAGGUGCCUGUGACAUUAUUGUUGCAUGUGUCAUAUUGCACAACAUUGGCACCAUCAGAAAGGAGAGGAUCCCUGUGGUGGGGGUGCAGCCUGAUGAUGACGACCUCCAGCCAGUGCACUUGGACCAACCUAGUGGCAGAGCUGCACGGGACAUAAUUGUAGAACACAAUUUUUUAAUCUUUAAUAAAAGACAAGAUAAAUAUGCUUCUAUGCUUCUUAAGUUCCUGUAUUUUUAUUUGAGCGAUUAUUCUUUAUGGAGAACAGCCAGGAAGUAAUCUUUUGCCUGCAAUAAGAGGUAGUUAUGUAAAGUCAGCAAUACUACUAUGUGUCAAAUGGUACAUUUGCACUUACUCUGAAGUUCCUUUUGAAGCAAUUUGAUCUGGAGUACAAUUUUUCUCUUUCUCAAGUUGUCAAGAUUAAUUUCUCCUCUUAAUUUGCAUUUUUCAACUCCAAAUACUCAAUUUUUUGGUGAAGAUGCCUUUUAUAGAGGGAACGGAUGUCAGCCUGUGUCAUUUUGUGAAAGAAAAA